GAUGAACGCUGGCGGCGUGCCUAAUACAUGCAAGUCGAGCGAACAGACGAGGAGCUUGCUCCUCUGACGUUAGCGGCGGACGGGUGAGUAACACGUGGAAAACCUACCUAUAAAACUGGGAUAACUUCGGGAAACCGGAGCUAAUACCGGAUAAUAUAUUGAACCGCAGGGUUCAAUGGUGAAAGACGGUUUUGCUGUCACUUAUAGAUGGAUCCGCGCCGCAUUAGCUAGUUGGUAAGGUAACGGCUUACCAAGGCGACGAUGCGUAGCCGACCUGAGAGGGUGAUCGGCCACACUGGAACUGAGACACGGUCCAGACUCCUACGGGAGGCAGCAGUAGGGAAUCUUCCGCAAUGGGCGAAAGCCUGACGGAGCAACGCCGCGUGAGUGAUGAAGGUCUUCGGAUCGUAAAACUCUGUUAUUAGGGAAGAACAAAUGUGUAAGUAACUAUGCACGUCUUGACGGUACCUAAUCAGAAAGCCACGGCUAACUACGUG
rnacentral:rRNA from 1 species